rnacentral:rRNA from 1 species
AACGCGAAGAACCUUACCCAGACUUGACAUGCACUAGACAGUCCUAGAAAUAGGAUCUCCCUUCGGGGCUGGUGCACAGGUGCUGCAUGGCUGUCGUCAGCUCGUGCCGUGAGGUGUUUGGUUAAGUCCAGCAACGAGCGCAACCCUUAUCAUUAGUUGCCAACACGUUAAGGUGGGAACUCUAAUGAGACUGCCCGGGUUAACCGGGAGGAAGGUGAGGAUGACGUCAAGUCCGCAUGGCCCUUAUGUCUGGGGCUACACACGUGCUACAAUGGUCGGUACAAAAGGCAGCGAAACCGCGAGGUGGAGCAAAUCCCAAAAACCGAUCUCAGUUCAGAUUGUAGUCUGCAACUCGACUACAUGAAGACGGAAUUGCUAGUAAUGGCAGGUCAGCAACACUGCCGUGAAUACGUUCCCGGGCCUUGUA